CUCGGGGAUGGGGAGGGGUUCCUCAGCCUGGAUUGCAAGAAGGCGCAGGUCAGGCUGAGGGACCCCACCGGUGCAUG
rnacentral:pre_miRNA from 1 species